rnacentral:rRNA from 1 species
GACGAACGCUGGCGGCGUGCUUAACACAUGCAAGUCGAACGGAAAGGCCCUGCUUUUGUGGGGUGCUCGAGUGGCGAACGGGUGAGUAACACGUGAGUAACCUGCCCUUGACUUUGGGAUAACUUCAGGAAACUGGGGCUAAUACCGGAUAGGAGCUCCUGCUGCAUGGUGGGGGUUGGAAAGUUUCGGCGGUUGGGGAUGGACUCGCGGCUUAUCAGCUUGUUGGUGGGGUAGUGGCUUACCAAGGCUUUGACGGGUAGCCGGCCUGAGAGGGUGACCGGCGACAUUGGGACUGAGAGACGGCCCAGACGCCUACGGGAGGCAGCAGUGGGGAAUAUUGCACAAUGGGCGGAAGCCUGAUGCAGCAACGCCGCGUGCGGGAUGACGGCCUUCGGGUUGUAAACCGCUUUCGCCUGUGACGAAGCGUGAGUGACGGUAAUGGGUAAAGAAGCACCGGCUAACUACGUG